AAACCAUGUUGUGGGCAUCGCCUAAAAAGGUCCUUGUACCUCUCCUAAGCUUCAUAAAGUGUCUCACCAUCUUGUUGAGUUAAAAAAGCUAUGUCAUGUUGAAUUU